AUGUUGAAACACCAGUUCUUGUACAAUCACCAAAGUUAAGCAACAUUGAGCCUGGUCAAUACCUUGACAGGUGACCACUUGGGAAUACCAGGUAGUGUA